UUAUAGACAUCCCACAGCAUCACUUGGAUUUGACGAGAUGUGGAUGACUCUUAUCUGAAGUGGAAACAGACAUUGGUAAGGAGACCAAAGAUGCAUACAAUAUUCCAGACGUGAUCUCACCAAGCCCCAUGUGGUUCAAAUUUCAAACAGCAAAACCCAAUGACAAAGCACUGGGGCACAAUUUCUGUAAUCUCACAACAAAACGUCAGAGGGAGCAUGCUGACACUGCAAAAAGUGAUGUUUCCAAUUCCACCUUUAAUCCCUG